ACACACCAACACACACACACACCCACACACACACACCCACACACACACACACACAUACAAAGAAGGACACACAAAUCACAAGGAAAAACCACAAAAGUGCACUUCAGUUGCCAUUGUUGUUGUUGCUGUGCCGUUGGCGUUGUUGUUGUUUUCGCUGGCAAACCAAAGACGUUGAUGACGUCGAGUUAUAUGAACAGAAUGAUGACAGCCGUAGAUCACGAGCAACAGCAACGGCAACAGCAACAACAACUAACGAACGCAAAUAAAAGAGAAGAACGCAUCGGAAAAUGCAAAAAAGAGGAGAGCAAAAAAGUACCAGGAACUGAAGUUGCUGCCACUUUACGUGUAGCUGCAAGUUCUGCCACAGAAAAACAAAAAAAAAAAAAAUAGAUGGAAGAGUUCCUGUAGUGGCUGCCAGGGCUGAGAAGCAGCGUAUUGAAAGGUGAACAACUUCAGCAGCUGCAACAGCGCAGCCUACCGAGAGGGGGGGGGGGAGGAGCUACGCUGUACUAUUUGAGUAGUGCUGACACAAAAAUCAACGCAUGGAAAGUAGGACAAGUGUCAAAAUCACUUAAGUGCGAAUGCUACGCCAAAUAGAAAGAAAGCGAAGCCAGCCAAGCGAAUGGACGCAGGACAGACGGAAGGCAAAGCAGAGCGGAGCAGAACAGAGCAGAACAGAGCAGAGCAUAGACAUUGCCACCUUCAAGGAUGACGCUGACGACAAGCUGGCUGAAAAGCUGACUAAAAUGAAAGACAAGCAGCUGAGGAAACGGAUUUAAGUAGUGGCUGCCAGAUGCGAGUGAAUGGCGUGAUGCAGAGCAGAACAUAGUUGAAUGAAUGAAAAGGGGGGAUGGAGGUGCUGGUGCAUGCUACUUAGUUAUAACUGCAAUUCAGGCAGCCAAACAGCUAAAUGAAAAGGUAGAAAUUUUACCAAAGAACGACGUUUUCAUGCUCUUCACGUUAAGCUCUAUAAUUAAGGACAGCUCUGGGCGUCGAAGCGAAGCAUAGACGAAAGGCACGGGGAUAAAUGGAUCAAGGGGGUGUGGCUCGCAGGGGCGCGUUCCACCAUAAAGGGUUACUCAUCGGGCGAUUUAAUGUGCAAAAGAUUUCAUAAGGCGAAAUUAAUGUGCAACAAACAGUGUGAAUGGCUCCACGCCUUCCCCCGAGGGGGUGCGUCCACAACGACGUCGUCGUCGUAGCCCAAAAAUGGAGGCGUAAACGCAGAAGGAUUUUAACUUAAAACUCACAGUUGGAUUUCCAGGUGCCAGAAUAAAUCCAGCAAGAGAAAUGGCCUCAAAAAAGUUAGUCAAGUGUGCUCUUGGGUCUAAAAACUGACAGGAAAUUGCUUUCGCUUCCACAGAGCUGAAUAUUAUAUUUAUUUCAACCCAAUCGGGGACUAAAAAACAAGGUUAGAUACGAGUGAAUAAAUGUUAAACUUU